AAAUUGAAGAGUUUGAUCAUGGCUCAGAUUGAACGCUGGCGGCAGGCCUAACACAUGCAAGUCGAACGGUAACAGGAAGCAGCUUGCUGCUUUGCUGACGAGUGGCGGACGGGUGAGUAAUGUCUGGGAAACUGCCUGAUGGAGGGGGAUAACUACUGGAAACGGUAGCUAAUACCGCAUAACGUCGCAAGACCAAAGAGGGGGACCUUCGGGCCUCUUGCCAUCGGAUGUGCCCAGAUGGGAUUAGCUUGUUGGUGGGGUAACGGCUCACCAAGGCGACGAUCCCUAGCUGGUCUGAGAGGAUGACCAGCCACACUGGAACUGAGACACGGUCCAGACUCCUACGGGAGGCAGCAGUGGGGAAUAUUGCACAAUGGGCGCAAGCCUGAUGCAGCCAUGCCGCGUGUAUGAAGAAGGCCUUCGGGUUGUAAAGUACUUUCAGCGGGGAGGAAGGGAGUAAAGUUAAUACCUUUACUCAUUGACGUUACCCGCAGAAGAAGCACCGGCUAACUCCGUGCCAGCAGCCGCGGUAAUACGGAGGGUGCAAGCGUUAAUCGGAAUUACUGGGCGUAAAGCGCACGCAGGCGGUUUGUUAAGUCAGAUGUGAAAUCCCCGGGCUCAACCUGGGAACUGCAUCUGAUACUGGCAAGCUUGAGUCUCGUAGAGGGGGGUAGAAUUCCAGGUGUAGCGGUGAAAUGCGUAGAGAUCUGGAGGAAUACCGGUGGCGAAGGCGGCCCCCUGGACGAAGACUGACGCUCAGGUGCGAAAGCGUGGGGAGCAAACAGGAUUAGAUACCCUGGUAGUCCACGCCGUAAACGAUGUCGACUUGGAGGUUGUGCCCUUGAGGCGUGGCUUCCGGAGCUAACGCGUUAAGUCGACCGCCUGGGGAGUACGGCCGCAAGGUUAAAACUCAAAUGAAUUGACGGGGGCCCGCACAAGCGGUGGAGCAUGUGGUUUAAUUCGAUGCAACGCGAAGAACCUUACCUGGUCUUGACAUCCACGGAAGUUUUCAGAGAUGAGAAUGUGCCUUCGGGAACCGUGAGACAGGUGCUGCAUGGCUGUCGUCAGCUCGUGUUGUGAAAUGUUGGGUUAAGUCCCGCAACGAGCGCAACCCUUAUCCUUUGUUGCCAGCGGUCCGGCCGGGAACUCAAAGGAGACUGCCAGUGAUAAACUGGAGGAAGGUGGGGAUGACGUCAAGUCAUCAUGGCCCUUACGACCAGGGCUACACACGUGCUACAAUGGCGCAUACAAAGAGAAGCGACCUCGCGAGAGCAAGCGGACCUCAUAAAGUGCGUCGUAGUCCGGAUUGGAGUCUGCAACUCGACUCCAUGAAGUCGGAAUCGCUAGUAAUCGUGGAUCAGAAUGCCACGGUGAAUACGUUCCCGGGCCUUGUACACACCGCCCGUCACACCAUGGGAGUGGGUUGCAAAAGAAGUAGGUAGCUUAACCUUCGGGAGGGCGCUUACCACUUUGUGAUUCAUGACUGGGGUGAAGUCGUAACAAGGUAACCGUAGGGAACCUGCGGUUGGAUCACCUCCUUA
rnacentral:rRNA from 1 species